CUGGUCGUAGCUCAGAGGUAGAGCGCCGGUUUUGGGAACCGGAUGCCGCAGGUUCGAUCCCUGCCGACCAGA
rnacentral:tRNA from 1 species